UGAGGGAAUAUUGGGUCAAUGGACGAAAGUCUGAACCAGCCAUGCCGCGUGAAGGAAUAAGGCCCUAUGGGUCGUAAACUUCUUUUGUAUGUGAGCAAUAAGGUCCACGUGUGGACCGAUGAGAGUAGCAUACGAAUAAGCAUCGGCUAACUCCGUGCCAGCAGCCGCGGUAAUACGGAGGAUGCAAGCGUUAUCCGGAUUUAUUGGGUUUAAAGGGUGCGUAGGCUGUUUGUCAAGUCAGAGGUGAAAGGCCGCAGCUCAACUGUGGAAUUGCCUUUGAUACUGGCAGGCUUGAAUACUGUUGCCGUGGGAGGAAUGAGUAGUGUAGCGGUGAAAUGCAUAGAUAUUACUCAGAACACCGAUUGCGAAGGCAUCUCACGAAGCAGACAUUGACGCUGAGGCACG
rnacentral:rRNA from 1 species